rnacentral:lncRNA from 1 species
CUAUGAUUAGGCCAUGUGACUAAGAGCCCAUGAUGCAUUCUAAAAUUGCAAAUCUCAAAGGAAAAAAUAUUUAGAAUAAGAAAUUAUAAUUAAUUUAUUAUGCUUUACAUGUGGUCACAGUGAAACGGCUCAGCUAUUGAAAAUGCUUUUUUAAUACACAAUAGAUAUCUAGACAUAUGCCUUAUAUAUCUUGCCUUAACUAGGAAUUUAGAUACAUCAAAAGUUGGUUCUUUUCUUUAGCACUGAUUAUCAAGUCAACAUAUAUAUUUUUGAAAGCAAAGAUUUUUUUUCAAGUGACCACAACUGAUUUUAUAGUUUUUAUUUUACACUUGUUAAAUCUUGUAUACUUAUGCUUUGUGAAACUAAUAUAUAUUGUAUGUACGUUGAACAGAGAUAUUUUUCCAAUGUUCUUUUUCCUUUGAAAUUCAAAAAAGUCCUAUUUUUUAUCUUUGUGACAAUACUCAGUGAGAUAUGCCAAUACAAUUAUAUUGUUUUUAACAGAUUCCAAAAUACAUAGAUGCCUUCAAAUUUCUGAAUGUUUGUAUAGCGUAUGACCAGAUGAUUUUUUUUGUUUUGUUUUGUUUUGUUUUUUAUGUUUAUUGUUAUCAUCACAUCUGUAACACACUACAAAAUGACACACUACAAAAUAUAACACUGGAUGAAGAGUGCAAGAUUUACAAUUAUGCAGACUACUCUGGAACCAGUUUAUACCCAUGAUCACUUUGCACUCAUGCCCCUUUUUAUUCAGUGGACUUUCACAUCACUUCAGUUGAUUAUACCAUUGUUUGACACUCCAAAGUUUUGGAUUGCUCAUCAUUCACUCUCAGUCAAGUGUUCCUGGUAGAUCGUCCCAAGAUGAUGUCAGACUUGAUCCUGCCCUCCCUUAUAGACCUGCCUCCUGUUGUUUUGGUUCUUCUGUCUCAGUCCUUCAGAAUCCAAUAUGUGAGCACAGAUACUCAGUUGGCAGGAGCGUAUGAGUCACUCAACUUCGAUGGAUUUGUGAGUCCACGUCAUCCUCAUCCAGUAACCCAGAUCUGCCAUUGAGUUUGUCCUUUCUUCCAUUGCACAUCACAUUUGAAGAGAGUUGAGGCUUGUGACCCUGACAUCUCCUUGGGAUACCUCACUAGGAACAAUCUUCAUUCAUUGACUUUCUGCAUACCCAUUACUUGAAUGUUAAUGUUAAUCAGCCUGUCCACUAACUUUGGAGAAUGCUACCAAGGCACACACAACUGUGUGUAUGUGCUUUCACAUGGCUGUUUUUCAUGAAGAUGAACUGUAGCAGUGAUACAGUUCAUCUUCAUUUGUCUAGUCUUAAGUCCACUAAGUAGUUAUUUUGUGUAUCUCACUGUAAAUUCAGUCAAAACCAAAGUGCUCAUGACAGCA